CCUACGGGAGGCAGCAGUGGGGAAUAUUGCACAAUGGCCGAAACCCUGAUGCAGCGACGCCGCGUGAGCGAUGAAGGCUUUCGGUAUGUAAAGCUCUAUCAGCAGGGAAGAAAAUGACGGUACCUCUUGAAUAAUCCACGGCUAACUACGUGCCAGCAGCCGCGGUAAUACGUAGGUGGCAAGCGUUGUCCGGAUUGACUGGGCGUAAAGGGCGUGCAGCCGGGUAGACAAGUCAGAAGUGAAAUCCCGCGGCUCAACCGCGGAACUGCAUGUGAAACUGGUAUUCUUGAGUACCGGAGAGGUCAGCGGAAUUCCUGGUGUAGCGGUGAAAUGCGUAGAUAUAAGGAAGAACACCGGUGGCGAAGGCGGAUGACUGGACGGCAACUGACGGUGAGGCGCGAAAGCGUGGGGAGCAAACAGGAUUAGAUACCCUUGUAGUC
rnacentral:rRNA from 1 species